rnacentral:rRNA from 1 species
AUCAGUUAUAGUUUAUUUGAUAGUACCUCACUACAUGRAUAACCGUAGUAAUUCUAGAGCUAAUACAUGCGAAAAGAMCCGACUUCUGGAAGGGUUGUAUUUAUUAGAUAAAAAACCAAUGCGGAGCAAUCCGGUUUUUGGUGAAUCAUAAUAACUUAACGGAUCGCAUGGCCUCGUGCCGGCNGAUAGUUCAUUCNAAAUKUCUGCCCUAUCAACU